rnacentral:rRNA from 1 species
GACGAACGCUGGCGGCGUGCUUAGCACAUGCAAGUCGAACGGAAAGGCCCUGCUUUUGUGGGGUGCUCGAGUGGCGAACGGGUGAGUAACACGUGAGUAACCUGCCCUUGACUUUGGGAUAACUUCAGGAAACUGGGGCUAAUACCGGAUAGGAGCUCCUGCUGCAUGGUGGGGGUUGGAAAGUUUCGGCGGUUGGGGAUGGACUCGCGGCUUAUCAGCUUGUUGGUGGGGUAGUGGCUUACCAAGGCUUUGACGGGUAGCCGGCCUGAGAGGGUGACCGGCCACAUUGGGACUGGGGAACGGCCAGGACGCCUACGGGGGGAAGCGGUGGGAAAUAUUGCACAAUGGGCGGAGGCCGGAUGGAGAAACGCCGGGUGCGGAAUGACGGCCUUGGGGUUGUAACCGCUUUCGCCUGUGACGAAGCGUGAGUGACGGUAAUGGGUAAAGAAGCACCGGCUAACUACGUG